rnacentral:rRNA from 1 species
UGGGGAAUUUUGGACAAUGGGCGCAAGCCUGAUCCAGCCAUGCCGCGUGCGGGAAGAAGGCCUUCGGGUUGUAAACCGCUUUUGUCAGGGAAGAAAUCCUUUGAGCUAAUACCUCGGGGGGAUGACGGUACCUGAAGAAUAAGCACCGGCUAACUUCGUGCCAGCAGCCGCGGUAAUACGAAGGGUGCAAGCGUUACUCGGAAUUACUGGGCGUAAAGCGUGCGUAGGUGGUUUGUUAAGUCUGAUGUGAAAGCCCUGGGCUCAACCUGGGAAUUGCAUUGGAUACUGGCAGGCUAGAGUGCGGUAGAGGAUGGCGGAAUUCCCGGUGUAGCAGUGAAAUGCGUAGAGAUCGGGAGGAACAUCGAUGGCGAAGGCAGCCCCCUGGGAUAACACUGACGCUCAUGCACGAAAGCGUGGGGAGCAAACA